rnacentral:rRNA from 1 species
AAGCCUGAUGCAGCAACGCCGCGUGAACGAUGAAGGUCUUCGGAUCGUAAAGUUCUGUUGCAGGGGAAGAUAAUGACGGUACCCUGUGAGAAGCCCCGGCUAACUACGUGCCAGCAGCCGCGGUAAUACGUAGGGGGCUAGCGUUAUCCGGAUUUACUGGGCGUAAAGGGUGCGUAGGUGGUCCUUCAAGUCGGUGGUUAAAGGCUACGGCUCAACCGUAGUAAGCCGCCGAAACUGGAGGACUUGAGUGCAGGAGAGGAAAGUGGAAUUCCCAGUGUAGCGGUGAAAUGCGUAGAUAUUGGGAGGAACACCAGUAGCGAAGGCGGCUUUCUGGACUGCAACUGACACUGAGGCACGAAGGCGUGGGUAGCAAACAGGAUUAGAUACCCUGGUAGUCCACGCUGUAAACGAUGAGUACUAGGUGUCGGGGGUUACCCCCCUCGGUGCCGCAACUAACGCAUUAAGUACUCCGCCUGGGGAGUACGCACGCAAGUGUGAAACUCAAAGAAUUGACGGGGACCCGCACAAGUAGCGGAGCAUGUGAUUGAAUUCGAACAACGCGAGAAC